AAUCUUUAGUGUUGUGAGCCCUUAAAAGGGACAGAAAUUUUGCACUCGGGGAGCUCAGAUUUUAAGACAGUAGCUUGCUGAUGCUCCCAGCUGAAUAAAGCCCUUCCUUCUACAACUCGGUGUCUGAGGGGUUUUGUCUGCAGCUCGUCCUGCUACAAUGGUGGUUCCUUUAUAGAGUCCAUCUGCUCACUACAUGUGAUUCAAGCCUAGCUCGAAAGAUAGGCAAGUGAUGACUUAGGACACUGUCAAUGGCAUGAGACUUCUUUCCAAGCUAUCAGAAGACCGCCUUCUUUUCCCACUGCUACUGCCAGGAUAUUCAUGAUUCCCUACCUUGAAUCAAUGCCGCCAUCUUCCUUUUAACUCAGGGACUAUGAGAUACACAGGUCUUCAAUGCCAGUCACCUCAUGGACUCACCACCUAGUUUAUCAAGGAGAAGUUGAUGCUGGGAGCAACUACAAAAAUGAAGCUACUCUGAUUUAGGUGGCACAGAAAAGCAGGCGAGGGUUUCUCCCUCCUGUCUCAUUUGAUCAUUUUUCAUGCUUUACCUGUGCUUCUAGGGGCCAAUCUAUCUUUUUUUUUUUUUUUCUGCCUUCUCUGCUUUAAAUGUUCCCAGUUCUGUCUGGAACUUGUCUUUGAACAAAGAAAGAUUUACUUCUUUCUUGAUUCUUUUAUUCCCCUCAUUUUUGUUUAUUCUCUUCCUGGCUCUUAGAGCUUUUCUCUUAACAUUGUGACUGGUGUAUCUAUUUUCUUCAUCUCUCACCUCCUGCCCAUGAACUUAUUUAUGAGGAAAUGUGUAGGAUAAUAGAGCAACAAUUUGGCUUAAAGGGCUCUAGCUGUGUGACCCUAGGCACAUCAGUCAACUCCUUAUAAACAACAGGUUUCUUUUCUCUAAAAUGAGGAUGUUAGAUUCUAUUAUCUCAGUAGUUCAUCUCAGCACUAAUUUUCUAUGAUUCCUUUUCUCACAGUGCUGUCUACCUUGCAAGCCCAGUACAUGUAUAUUAGUUCCCUAUUGCUGCUGUAACAAAUUGCCACCAGCUUAAUGGUUUAAAGCAAGGCAAAUUUGUUAUUUUAUAUUUCUGUAGAUCAGACAUCUGGCACGGUGCCCUUGUGCUAAAAUUAGAGUGCUGACAAGCCUAUGGUUCUUUCUGGAGCCUUCAGGGAAGAAUUGGUUACCUUGCGUUUUCCAGCUUUUGAGAGCACCUGCAUCCCUUGGGUCAUGCCCUUUUCCUCCAUUUUCAAAGUCCAAAACAGGAUGUCAAGUCCUUCUUUCUUUGCAUCUCUUUGAACAACUGUAGCCAAAAAGAUUCUCCAUUCUAAGGACUCCUGUGAUUUGAUUGGGAGCCUCUACAUCAUUCAGGAGAAUCCUCUGACCUCAAGUUCUGUAACCUGAAUCACAUCAUAAGGGUAGCCCGAAUGCCAUGUCUUCACAUUUUAUUCCACUUGGAUCUCCUGUAGAAUGGCUGUUUACCAUGGAAGGGCUGAUUCCAAUUCUCACGUUAAUCACUUACAAGGCAGAAACCAGCUAGUCUAGACUGGUAAAGGGCUUUCCAGUUCAUUCAUCAGCCUCCUCUGAUUCUCUCAGGGCUCAUUCAGAUGUUCCCAAUCCUUUCACAAGAUUACAAUUCAACACAUAUGGAAGCACAAAAAAAAAUGCUGAUUUCCCCACAUAAAUAAUAAUUAAUUACUAAUGAAGAUAAUGGUGACAGACUAUGGGACUUAAGAAAAAACCUACGAGGAUGUAUCACAAGACAAAUCCUUCUAAAAAUUAAACUAUUUGCAGACAAUCAGAAAGUCAAAACUAACAAUCUCUUAAACAUUUCUCAGAUAUGGCUGUAAUAACAUAGCAUUCCUAUAAAAAUGAACUUUUAGGUUAAAUAUAUCUUUACACAUACAUGCACUUGCACCCACAUGUACACACAAUCUAUUUUUGGAUCUACUGAAUAAAGCAUCAUUAUUUAAAGUGAAGCAAUAAAAGUUUCAACGUCUUUUUUUCUAAGUAUUAGCCUUGAAGUUAUUCACCCUAACCAAA
rnacentral:lncRNA from 1 species